AUUCCAGCUCCAAUAGCGUAUACUAAAGCUGUUGCAGUUAAAAAGCUCGCAGUUGAACUUCUGGUCGUGAAAAGUGGUCCGUUCCGCAAGGAAUGUGUACUGUCUAUUCAUGUCCAUCUUCGGAGUUAGUGUGUAUUACUUUAAUCGGUCGUGCAUGCAAUACUUCGUCAUUUACUGUGAGCAAAAUAGAGUGUUCAAAGCAGGCUUAUGCCGUUGAAUAUAUUAGCAUGGAAUAAUAAGAUAUGACUUUGGUCUAUUUUGUUGGUUUGCACUCCAAAGUAAUGAUUAAUAGGGAUAGUUGGGGGUAUUCGUAUUCAAUUGUCAGAGGUGAAAUUCUUGGAUUUAUGGAAGACGAACUACUGCGAAAGCAUUUACCAAGGAUGUUUUCAUCA
rnacentral:rRNA from 1 species